rnacentral:rRNA from 1 species
UACGUAGGGUGCGAGCGUUAAUCGGAAUUACUGGGCGUAAAGCGUGCGCAGGCGGUUCGUUGUGUCUGUGGUGAAAGCCCCGGGCUUAACCUGGGAAUGGCCAUGGAAACUGACGAGCUUGAGUGUGGCAGAGGGGGGUGGAAUUCCGCGUGUAGCAGUGAAAUGCGUAGAGAUGCGGAGGAACACCGAUGGCGAAGGCAGCCUCCUGGGCCAGCACUGACGCUCAUGCACGAAAGCGUGGGGAGCAAACAGG